UACGAAUGGAGCGAGCGUUGUUCGGAAUCACUGGGCGUAAAGCGUGCGCAGGCGGUUUUGAAAGUUAGAAGUGAAAGCCCAGGGCUUAACCUUGGAAUUGCUUUUAAAACUUCAAGACUAGAGUACUGGAGGGGUUGGCGGAAUUUCGAGUGUAGCAGUGAAAUGCGUAGAUAUUCGAAGGAACACCGAUGGCGUAGGCAGCCAACUGGACAGUUACUGACGCUCAUGCACGAAAGCGUGGGGAUCAAACAGG
rnacentral:rRNA from 1 species